rnacentral:rRNA from 1 species
AACGAACGCUGGCGGCAGGCUUAACACAUGCAAGUCGAGCGCCCCGCAAGGGGAGCGGCAGACGGGUGAGUAACGCGUGGGAAUCUACCCAUCUCUACGGAAUAACGCAUAGAAACGUGUGCUAAUACCGUAUACGUCCUUCGGGAGAAAGAUUUAUCGGAGAUGGAUGAGCCCGCGUUGGAUUAGCUAGUUGGUGGGGUAAAGGCCUACCAAGGCGACGAUCCAUAGCUGGUCUGAGAGGAUGAUCAGCCACACUGGGACUGAGACACGGCCCAGACUCCUACGGGAGGCAGCAGUGGGGAAUAUUGGACAAUGGGCGCAAGCCUGAUCCAGCCAUGCCGCGUGAGUGAUGAAGGUCCUAGGGUUGUAAAGCUCUUUCACCGGUGAAGAUAAUGACGGUAACCGGAGAAGAAGCCCCGGCUAACUUUGUGCCAGCCGCCGCGGUAAUAC